rnacentral:rRNA from 1 species
AACGCGAAGAACCUUACCCAGGCUUGACAUACAGUGGACCGCGCUAGAGAUAGCGCUUUCCUUCGGGACCGCUGAACAGGUGCUGCAUGGCUGUCGUCAGCUCGUGCCGUGAGGUGUUGGGUUAAGUCCCGCAACGAGCGCAACCCUUAUCAUUAGUUGCCAACACUUAGGGUGGGAACUCUAAUGAGACUGCCUGGGUUAACCAGGAGGAAGGUGAGGAUGACGUCAAGUCCGCAUGGCCCUUAUGUCUGGGGCAACACACGUGCUACAAUGGUCGGUACAGAAGGCAGCGAAGUCGUGAGAUGGAGCAAAUCCCAAAAGCCGGCCUCAGUUCAGAUUGUAGUCUGCAACUCGACUACAUGAAGACGGAAUUGCUAGUAAUGGCGGGUCAGCACACCGCCGUGAAUACGUUCCCGGGCCUUGUACACACCGGUACUA